CUUUAUUGGAGAGUUUGAUCCUGGCUCAGGAUGAACGCUGGCGGCGUGCCUAAUACAUGCAAGUCGAGCGAAUGGAUUGAGAGCUUGCUCUCAAGAAGUUAGCGGCGGACGGGUGAGUAACACGUGGGUAACCUGCCCAUAAGACUGGGAUAACUCCGGGAAACCGGGGCUAAUACCGGAUAACAUUUUGAACUGCAUGGUUC
rnacentral:rRNA from 1 species